UGGCUAUUUCUAAAGUAUAUGUCCAAAUUAUUUCCUUUGAUACUCUACUUACAUCAUAUGAGGAUCAGUUCCUAACCGUUAGUGCAGUGACUCACAUAUCCGAAAUGAACUGUAAGGGAUUAAGGUUUCCGCUAACAUAACAAAUAAAGAAAGGAAAGCAGAGAAGAGUAGUAACCUUUGUCCUAGAAGAUGGGGCAUUUUGUUAUGAUUUGCUCAAGAAAUUUGACGAUCAAUUGUAGAAUGGAAAAGGCUGAAAAUGCAUAAAGAACAUAGUAGAAAUCCUAAUUCACCGAAGAAUUCAUCAUAAAACUCAAAGGGGUACAAGAAUCAACAAAUUAAAUGCUAAAACAAAAACAAAAAUGUAAUGAUAAGCAUUAUUCAUUGCAUAACUUUCUAAUAUACCUACAAAAUGAAACUAAGUCCUCUUCACUGCUUUACAUAGAGAUGGAUAUGUUGGUGAACAGAGGCGUGAUGUUACUCAUGCUAAACUUCGGAACGAAUAAAUGUGUGGGUAAUUAAAACAAUUUAUUUCAUUCUUGAUAAGAUAGCUCCAGAGUAGUGUUAAAAUUUGAUGGCUGGUCCACCUCAUUUUGUGAAAACAAAUGUAGAUUACAAUCGCGGGGUACUGCUUAUUGAAAAAUUCGAGGAGGGGUCUAUAGGGCUUUCUUUGAAACCUGAUGACGGACCAUCUGGUUUGUUCUUUAAUUGGAAACAAGUCUCAUCAUUCGAUUGAGAAUAUGUUGUUCCAUUGUAAACACACAACUGAUGAUAGAAGUGUAUAAAGCCAAUAAUAUGAAGUACUAAAUGAUGUCUCUGUUAACAACAAAAUCAAUUUGUCUAUUCUUCUCAUCUCCCUCAGCUUUAAAUAGCCAGAACAAAGUAGAAGUUGAGUUUUUAUAUGGGGAAAAACUCACUUAUUUAUUUUACCCAAAAGCCAUAUAUGGUAAAGCACAAAACACAAAAGGUUUAAGCCUGCUCAAAUGGGGGAAAAACCUCCACAGUGGAGUUUGAUUGAGAGCAGAAGCACGAAGCAUGUUACAUGUAGCUAAUAUCAGAUGUACAAAAGGACAAAAACACAUGUACUUUCAAAUUUUUUUGUAUAAAAAAAUUAAGUAGAAGAACAAAGCUUAAAUACCAUUUUUUGUACAUAGAACACUUCAGAAAACAAGAGCAAAUAUACACAUACCAGAGCGAAAUAAUUUGUUCUAUCUAUUUUUCAGCAUGCGGGACAAUAUUCUCUUGAGAAAAUUGUGCCACACUUUCUUUAAA
rnacentral:lncRNA from 1 species